UCAUUUUAGUGUAGUUUUUCUUUGUUUGCCUCCUGUCAGGUUAUUUGGUCAAUUUAUAGUUGUUUUCGAAAAUGUCUUUUUUGUCUUCAACGAAUCAAACCUUUCUUCAUCAUUUUACCAUUUGUGGUAUUUGUGGUUUUUACCAUUUUUGAGGCGCUGUGAGUGUGGUUGAUGGACGUGGUGCAGAGGUCGAAUAGAUUGGUGUGGAAGCUUUCGUUCUUUGCAUUAUGUUCAUUGUCUUGGAGCUUGGCUCAAAUAGCUUAGGUUCUUCUUCAACAUCCUUUCUAGUUACCAUUGCAUUUUAGGUCAGGUUGAAGCUUGAAGGAUAGUUUCCUUUUCUACUUAUUUCCGGGCACCACAAGGCUGAAGAAAAGGUGAAGCAGUGGAUAAAACCCUUCGAAACCAUCUUUUGAAGAUGUUUACUGCUUUGGGAAUUUAUCCAGAAAGCUUUGAAAAGCCAUUCCUUGAAUGCACAUCUGAAUUUUAUGCUGCUGAAGGUGUGAAAUACAUGCAUCAAUCAGAUGCUCCAGAUUAUUUGAAGCAUGUGGAGGGAUGUUUGUGGGUGCUUCUUCUGCAGAUAUGAUUGCAAGAAGAACAUGAAAGAUGUUUGAUUUUGCAGAUAAGACUGUCCACAUUAGUCCAAGUCUUUCUUCAGCACUUACCAAGUUUUAGUGGAUACGACCCUCACGGGGAUCGUGCCAGUCUCGGGUAUAUAUUAUCAUGCUUCCCAUUGAAAUUGUUUGGCACCCUUGGUUUUCCAAAGGAGAGGUGUUGUUGUGUUAGUUUUAAUUUAAUAAAUAUCCCAAGACAGAAAGCCCCAGCCAAUCUUCUGGAAAUAUCUCAACCUAAUAUAGGCAUGAAUAAGAAUUGUUACUGCUGUAUGAUUAUGUUUUGUACUAUAAAGAAUCUUCUGAAUGUUGAUCGGGUGAUGUGCCUGAGGGUAAAAUCCUCAAACAACGGCCUAUCCUGAUUGCAGCGUCAAUGCGGAGCUAUGGAGCUUAUUUAGCUUACAGUCAGAGUACAGAUACAGACUAUUGAUCGCAAGCAAGAAGUACCUCAUGAUGGUGCCUUGUGUGACCUCAUAUGGUCAGAUAUCCAGAAGAUAUUCUAGAUGGAUGGGAUCUUAGUCCUAGAGUUGCUGGUUUCUUAUUUGGUGGCAGUGUUCUUACUUCCUUUAACCACUCAAACAACAUUGACUAAAUAUGUCGUACUCAUCCGUUGGUGAUGGUACCAUUUUUCUGUUUAAGUGCAAAAUGACUCAGUUAUUAAGAUAUGUAGUUGUUGCUAUAAAAAUGUGUCCUUCUCUUUAUUGUGUGUGCCGACUGCUCAAGAUAUCUGUUGAGUUUUGCAGCAUAUGACCACAUUUCUUCUUCUUUUUGUUGCUCAUGCCAUGUGCUAUCUCUCAGAUCAACUCGACCUUUAUGAUGUCAAGAAACUGUGCUACAGUUUUGGAGAUUCCAAUUGCAAGUAAUUGUAAAUAUAAGGUACCAUCUUAUAUCUGUUUUGGUUAUCGUGAAUGUCACCAUCACCAACAAGUUUUUAUUUCUAAGCAAAGGGUGUGCCCCAGUUAUCAGAUUUUGGUCCAACUGUCUUAAAUGACCAUCUGAUAAUUCCAGAUGGUUUUCAGGAAUUUAAAUUCAAACAUAACUUUGAAUCAGUUCUGUGUUGAUGUUUUUAGUGCCAUUCUUUAGUCAGAACAUUGUUUUGAUCUAUGUCAAGUCUUAACAUGGGAAUUAUCUCUGUGAAACUUAAUUAUGGUAAAAAAAAGACACCAAUUUAAGUCCUUGAUUUUGAAGAUUGAAGAUGACCAACUGAAGAAAAAAAGUUCACCUGAUUGUAGAAAUAGCAGUGUUGUUAGUAGUAAUAGUAAGGUUCUCUCUCUGUGUAUCAAAGAUGUUAUUGCAGCUAA